rnacentral:rRNA from 1 species
UACGGGGGGGGCAAGCGUUGUUCGGAAUUACUGGGCGUAAAGGGCGCGUAGGCGGUUUGCUAAGUUGGAUGUGAAACUCUGGGCUUAACCCAGAGCCUGCAUCCAAAACUGGCAAACUUGAGUACUGGAGGGGAAAGCGGAAUUCCUGGUGUAGCGGUGAAAUGCGUAGAUAUCAGGAGGAACACCGGUGGCGAAGGCGGCUUUCUGGACAGUAACUGACGUGAGGCGCGAAAGCUAGGGGAGCAAACAGG